GGGCCUGUAGCUCAACGGUUAGAGCAGCGGACUCAUAAUCCGUUGGUUGUAGGUUCAAAUCCUACCGGGCCCACCA
rnacentral:tRNA from 1 species